rnacentral:lncRNA from 1 species
GGCCACACACGGCCUUUGUGAUGUCACAGCGUCACUGUGGAGCCAUGGACCUGAUGUCUCAGAGGAACAUGGCUUCAGCAAGAGGCUGAGCCUGGACAUCGUUCCCCCAUACAAGUCAGGACUGGUGUGACAUUGGGAAGCUGUUUAAAACAACACCGAGCAACUAACAAUAAAGCACAACUUUGUAUCCAAGCAUGGUGGCUCACAUCUGUACUCCCAGCAUUCUGGGAAGCUGAGGCAGGAGGAUCACAAAUUUGACCCCAGCCUGAGAAACUUAAUAACUUGGCUCUUGCUGUGUGUCACUGGAUAUUUGAGCAAUUUCUGGUCUUUUGGAGAGACAGACAUGUCCACAGGUAAACUGCAUUGUAAUUUAAUGAUUGUGCUGUAGAAAUAUAAGUGAUAAUCUGAAGAGCUCACCAAGCUGGGAAGAGAUGGGCCAGAGGAGAUUUAAAUUGGAUUCUGAAGGAUGAAUAGAAGUUUGCUAGCUGAAGAUGGUAAAAGUGGGACUUUUCUUCAAAGAAAUGAAGGUUGUGUUAGGAAGCCUG